CUCGAACUCAGUGACCUGAGCCAAAGUUGGAUGCUUAACAAACUGAGCCACUCAGGAGCCUCUAGAUAGGCACUCUUGAAGCCCAUACUAUGGUCCUGCUUGUGGAAGCUUUACUUUCUACAGAACUGUAAAGAAGCCACUGAGAUCCAAGACUAGAUCCCAGAACCAUGGAGAGAUGCCUGAGCUUCCUGGAGGGGUGGUUCACCAAGACACCAAGGGCAGCAUCACUAGAGGAACAGUCUAAACCAUUGCCAAGAGAGACAAAGCCCGAGUGGGGA